GAUCCUGGCUCAGGAUGAACGCUGGCGGCGUGCCUAAUACAUGCAAGUCGAACGCUUCACAUAUGUGAAGAGUGGCGAACGGGUGAGUAAUACAUAAGUAACCUGGCCUUUACAGGGGGAUAACUAUUGGAAACGAUAGCUAAGACCGCAUAGGUGUGAUAACCGCAUGGAGAUGACAUGAAAUAUGCUACGGCAUAGGUAGAGGAUGGACUUAUGGCGCAUUAG
rnacentral:rRNA from 1 species